AUUUGAUGAUGAGGGCAUUGUAUUAGAAAAUCAUUAAAUCCAUCCCAAGCUUCGUAAAAUUCUUCAUUAGGUUUUUGUCUAAAUAUUUGAAUUUUAUUUCGCAUAUC
rnacentral:snoRNA from 1 species